UUGGCAUGGUGACAGAGUGGUGGUAGUGUAGGUUGGCAUGGUGACAGAGGGGUGGUAGUGUAGGUUGGCAUGGUGACAGAGUGGUGGUAGUGUAGGUUGGCAUGGUGACAGAGUGGUGGUAGUGUAGGUUGGCAUGGUGACAGAGUGGUGGUAGUGUAGGUUGGCAUGGUGACAGAGGGGUGGUAGUGUAGGUUGGCAUGGUGACAGAGUGGUGGUAGUGUAGGUUGGCAUGGUGACAGAG